GCGGGAUUGGCCGAAUGGCUUAGGCACUGGAUUGUGGCUCCAGUCACGAGAGUUCGAUUCUCUCAUCUCGCCCCA
rnacentral:tRNA from 2 species